CUCAUCAAAACGAUUAAAGGAAAUAACAAUGUCAGUUGUCAUAACUAAACCAUUACAAUUUAAGUUCAUUUUUUUUAUAAAAUCGACCCAGCUUACCAUUAGCUCUAAAUCUCUUAGAACACUGAGGCUGCUUUCCUUUAGCUUUGUCUGUAAGUGUAAACACAACAGACUAGAAUGCAUCAAAUGAACUUAAAUUGAUUAGUCACUGACUACAAAGCAGACAAACCAGUAACACAUUAAACUGAAAUGGGUUAAGAAAAAUCACAAUAGUUUUGAUUUCUUGAACUUAAGACAUUUUUUGGAUGAGUAAAAUGCUGGCGACUCCUUGAACUUGAUAAUGUCGGAGUUAAAUUUGAAACAUCUUUCAACACUGAAGUAAUUCCAAUACCGGAUUUUUUCUCAUCAGACGAUUGAGAAUCUGAUGGCCCUGGAGUUAUAGGUUGAUGAUUUUGUUUCCUCUUCCGUGUACCGGAUUCUUUGUUCUUCAUAUUUGGUUUUGGUUACUGCUACCGGAGAAGUUAGUUUGACAUGGAAAUCUCAAUAACCAUUGUUAUUAUGUAAAGAGAGUUAGGGUUGCUUUAUAUGAACGUGGGUUAGCUUUCAGAAAAUAGAUUUAAAACACCUUGCUUUUAAAUUACCUUGCUUACGAUGUGUAUCAUAUAAGUCGAUAUAUUUGUAUUGAUUUGAAUAGAUAGAUGCAAUAUAUAUCCACUUAUGUUUGAUAAAUUUUCAUACUUUUUAUUUGAAUCAAUCUCAUAAAUAUAAAAAUAACUAAACUUGUAUAUUUAUGUUGUAAUUAAUAAUACACCGCCCAUAAUUGAAAUGGAAUAAAUCAAAACAAUAGAAAACUUGUAAUAUUUUAUUGGAAAUUAUAUAUAUUGGGGUUUAAUUAUUAUUAUUAUUAUUAUUAUUAUUAAAAAAAAUUGUUAUUAAGGUUUAACUAUAAACGUUAGUUUAGAGUCUUACAAUAUUUUUAGACUUUUUAGGAAGACAAAAAAGACGUAAAUAACACUGCAUUGCUAAUCAAAGUUUAAAUAAAACCAAACACUUGCAAAGAACAAACUUACUGGAAACAUAAAACAACAAACUUACUGGAAACAGAAAACGACAAACAGAAAACAUAAUGAAAACAUAAAAACAAAGCACAAUUCCACACUUCCUUAGCCAAUUUUGUUCGAGGUUGACUGCUGCUUGAUGACGAAGUGAGUUCAGUUGGGUCGUUGGUGCAAUGUUUCUUUGAUGACGAAGUGAGUUCAGUUGGGUCGUUGGUUAUGGCAAUUUCAUUGCGUUUAGAUGAUGGGGUUGUUACAGAGUCCUCGUUAACUUCACUUUCCAUCAGUAGAAAUGAAUCCUACAAUAGAAACUCAGUUACAAAUAGUUGCGGUCCUUAAAUUAAUAUUAAAAUUUUGUAUAUGAAAAAGUCAAAACAUACAUGUUCACCACUAUAAUUAGUAGUUCAAGUUUCAGAUGGAGUACACGAUUCUGUAACACCAGCAGUCAAUAGCAUACUUAGUUCACUCCAUACUUUACCAACCUUAAAAUUCCCACUUUUGCUUGUAUGAUUGUCUUUCUCAAUGAACACCCAAACAUGAAAGUUUUACCAACCAAAGAAGUAAUAGCUUCAGGAAAUGAAUCAAUAUCUUCUAGCUGUAUAAUAAAUGUAGAGUUACAUAAUCAAUUACUUGCAUCUAUAAAAUGAAUGUAGUUAUAAUUAAUAGUUUAUGAAAUAGAGUAUACCUCAUCAAAUGAAUCAUCGAGAAGUCAGGCACAAUUCCUUGUGCAGUCCAGUGCAAUAACAUGAGGGUUGCUUCUCCAGUACCAUCCUUAACCAUUACAUGAAUCUUGAACCUGCAUAAUAUAAUAAACAUAAUUAAAUUACGCAUGAAAACUUUUUGAUUAUUCAGAAACUGUGUUUUGUAUGGAAAACUUACUUUGGUGAGACAUUUGUAACUUUAAGGUUGCAACCUUCACACCACCAAACAUGAGAUUUAGUCUCUUUUCCGUUCACUGUUUUCACUGAAGUUGAAAAUGGAAGAACCUUUUUUCCCGGCAAGCAUUGCAUCCGAAAUAGUACCAUCCCCAAUCCUUAUCAAUAGCAUAGAUUGUGCUAAUGAUUCUGCAUUGCCCAAUCUACAUUUAUAAUAUAUACAAAUUAGUGUUUGACAAGUAAAUCACUGCUAAAACAUAUAUUGAAUCUAUAAAUAUAACCUGAGUUGAUGCAAGAAGCUCUCCAAUGUCUUUCUGUGGGAAAAGCAACCACUUAUCACGUCUUAAUUCCCUCUCAAUUUUGUCUUUUUCGGAUUGAAAUGUUGUCAAAGCAUUGGACGGUUCAACCAUGUAAAAACAUAAAUUAACAUAGUUUCAUCAUAAUAUUCCUUAAGCUUUAUCUAAUUUAUUAAUAUGUUAUCAAAACCUUUUCAUAAACUCAUCUGUAUCCUUUAUUGGUGGGUUGAAAUAGACCUGAGAUGCAUCAAAUGCAUUGGAUAUUUGAACUUGGUCUGCAUAUUAUCAAUAGUAAUAAAAAAUCAGUAAAGCUCUCAGUCAAGAAAAAUAAUAAACACUGUAUUAUUUUAUAUCUAAAGAAAAUGAUAUAAGAUUACUUCGAUAGGUCCCGAUUUUAGCAAAACGUAUUAGGCAUACUACAAUUUCUUCUUCAGCUUGUUGGCUGAAACUGUGUAUUGCUUCAGCAAACUUUCCCCAAAGGUAGCAAGGUAUCUUUUGAUCACUGUUGAAAACAUAUAUUAAUAGCUUAAUAUAUAUAUGAUAUAAGAAAUACAUAAAAUUAAUAUAUUACCUGAUGUCUCUCAAGCUGAACUCGAUUUUCUUUCUUUGUUUACCGUGACACUGCACAGUUUCCAGAUCUCCCAACUCAAACACUUGUCCAAUAACAUCUGAUAUUGUAGACAUCAUAUUGUUGAAGGAGUGAUGUCAGUGGUGGGAAUAAAGACAAUCUUGUAUUGGUGAUUUGUAGUCUUGUAACUACCGCCAUUAUUAGUCACCAAGAAAUGGUCAAUGUUUCUCCAAGCAUCAACAGGUACUUUAUUCUCCAAACGAUCAAAGUAUGCCUUCUUACAUGAUGCAUGAAUCUUGUUACCCUUCAAUACAAUAAGAAUAAACUGGUUAGAUAGUAAGUUUAAAUAUAGAUGUAUUUAGGAAUCAUUUGUUUGCCCAACAAUAAAUAAGAGAACAUGAUUUUGAAA